UACGUAGGGAGCAAGCGUUGUUCGGAUUUACUGGGCGUAAAGGGCGCGUAGGCGGCCUGUCAAGUCAAUUGUGAAAUCUCCGGGCUUAACUCGGAAAGGUCAACUGAUACUGUGCGGCUAGAGUGCGGAAGGGGCAACUGGAAUUCUUGGUGUAGCGGUGAGAUGCGUAGAUAUCAAGAGGAACACCUGCGGCGAAGGCGGGUUGCUGGGCCGACACUGACGCUGAUGCGCGAAAGCUAGGGGAGCGAACGGG
rnacentral:rRNA from 1 species